UCUUUGGACUCUGCUUCUCCUUCCCCUUCCCUUUCUUCUUUUCCUUCGUUUUCUUCUUAUGGCAGUUUUCCCUAGGGCUAGGGUUUUAGGUUCAUCAUGGGACGCUCCGGUCCAAUAUCGGGCGGGCAGGCUCUGAUCGAAUAAUGCCUGCGACAAAACAAAACAAAACCUUCCCGUCUCUUUCUCAAAGCCUACCAAAAGAAGGCAAUGCAACGAAGCUGUGGUGACAUUUUUGGUUGAAGAUUUCAGACAUUACUUUAAGGAACAAAUUGAUUGGUUAUUUUCGGCGAGGUAAAUGGGUGUUCAGUGCAAAAGGUUAAUGGACUGUUUAGUCCAUCUGAUUUUUCUUAUUGUGAUCCCUCUAUAUAUUUAUUUUGUAAAUAUAGAGGGAAGAAUUUGGUUGUAAAUGAUAUCAAAUUUUAUUUCCAAGGUGAUUCUAUUAUAUUGUAAAUGAUAUAGUGGGAAGAAUUUGGUUGUUUCCUUGAUUGUAGAAUGCCAGCUCACUUUAUGGUCCAAUCACAUGACAAAGUUGAUUUUUACUGUAAAAUUUGGGUUGGUUUAAUCAAAUUGUGAAUUGAGAUAUUACUGUCCAUA